rnacentral:rRNA from 1 species
GCGUGCGCAGGCGGUUUUGUAAGUCUGAUGUGAAAUCCCCGGGCUCAACCUGGGAAUUGCAUUGGAGACUGCAAGGCUAGAAUCUGGCAGAGGGGGGUAGAAUUCCACGUGUAGCAGUGAAAUGCGUAGAUAUGUGGAGGAACACCGAUGGCGAAGGCAGCCCCCUGGGUCAAGAUUGACGCUCAUGCACGAAAGCGUGGGGAGCAAACAGGAUUAGAUACCCUGGUAGUCCACGCCCUAAACGAUGUCUACUAGUUGUCGGGUCUUAAUUGACUUGGUAACGCAGCUAACGCGUGAAGUAGACCGCCUGGGGAGUACGGUCGCAAGAUUAAAACUCAAAGGAAUUGACGGGGACCCGCACAAGCGGUGGAUGAUGUGGUUUAAUUCGAUGCAACGCGAAAAACCUUACCCACCUUUGACAUGUACGGAAUCCUUUAGAGAUAGAGGAGUGCUCGAAAGAAACCGUAAC